rnacentral:rRNA from 1 species
AUUGAACGCUGGCGGCAGGCCUAACACAUGCAAGUCGAGCGGAUGACAGGAGCUUGCUCCUGGAUUCAGCGGCGGACGGGUGAGUAAUGCCUAGGAAUCUGCCUGGUAGUGGGGGACAACGUUUCGAAAGGAACGCUAAUACCGCAUACGUCCUACGGGAGAAAGCAGGGGACCUUCGGGCCUUGCGCUAUCAGAUGAGCCUAGGUCGGAUUAGCUAGUUGGUGAGGUAAUGGCUCACCAAGGCGACGAUCCGUAACUGGUCUGAGAGGAUGAUCGGUCACACUGGAACUGAGACACGGUCCAGACUCCUACGGGAGGCAGCAGUGGGGAAUAUUGGACAAUGGGCGAAAGCCUGAUCCAGCCAUGCCGCGUGUGUGAAGAAGGUCUUCGGAUUGUAAAGCACUUUAAGUUGGGAGGAAGGGUUGUAGAUUAAUACUCUGCAAUUUUGACGUUACCGACAGAAUAAGCACCGGCUAACUCUGUGCCAGCCGCCGCAGUAAGAC